rnacentral:rRNA from 1 species
GUCAAGUACAAAGAGCAUCGGGUGGAUGCCUUGGCACUGGGAGCCGAUGAAGGACGUGAUAAGCUGCGAUAAGCUGCGGUAAGGAGCACAUAUCCGAUAUACCCGCAGAUUUCCGAAUGGGGGAACCCACAUACGGUAAUGCGUAUGUAUCAUUAAGUGAAUACAUAGCUUAAUGAAGGGAACGGGGUGAACUGAAACAUCUAAGUAGCCCUAGGAAGAGAAAGAAAAAUCGAUUUCCUUAGUAGCGGCGAGCGAAAGGGAAAGAGGCCAAACCAGACUGUUUACAGUUUGGGGUUGUGGACCACCAACAUUGACGAAGUUAUGCAAGCCGAAUAGAACUGGAAAGUUCAAGCAGAGAAGGUAAUACUCCUGUAGGCGAAAGCAGAAAGCGCAUAGGUGGCACCAGAGUAGGACCGGACACGUGUAACCCGGUCUGAAGCAGGAGGGACCACCCUCCAAGCCUAAAUACUACCCAGUGACCGAUAGCGAAUAGUACCGUGAGGGAAAGGUGAAAAGAACCCCGGGAGGGGAGUGAAAUAGAAUCUGAAACCUGAUGCUUACAAGCAUAGGGAGCGCAAGUGACCUAGUACUUUUUGUAGAACGGGCCAACGAGUUAUGGUAUGUAGCGAGGUUAAGUUGCUGGAGCAACGGAGCCGUAGAGAAAUCGAGUCUGAAUAGGGCGAGAGUUGCAUGCUGUAGACCCGAAACCGGGUGACCUAUCCAUGAGCAGGUUGAAGUAACCGUAAAAGGUUAUGGAGGACCGAACCUAUAUCUGUUGAAAAAGGUUAGGAUGACUUGUGGAUAGCGGUGAAAUUCCAAUCGAACUCGGAUAUAGCUGGUUCUCCUCGAAAUAGCUUUAGGGCUAGCCUCAAGGUAAAGAUACACGGGGGUAGAGCACUGACUGUUCGCGGGGCCUUCACCGGUUACCAACAACUAUCAAACUCCGAAUACCGUGCUAUCAUACUUGGGAGUCAGACUAUGAGAGAUAAGUUCCAUGGUCGAAAGGGAAACAGCCCAGAUCAACAGCUAAGGUCCCAAAGAGUAAGUUAAGUGGAAAAGGAUGUGGGAUUGCACAAACAGCUAGGAUGUUGGCUUAGAAGCAGCCAUACAUUUAAAGAGUGCGUAAUAGCUCACUAGUCGAGUGAUCCUGCGCCGAAGAUAAACGGGGCUCAAACUUACCACCGAAGCUUUGGAAUUAGUAUAACUAAUUGGUAGAGGAGCAUUCUAUACAGGCAGAAGGAGGCGCGUAAGCAAAUCUGGACAGUAUAGAAGAGAGAAUGUUGGCAUGAGUAGCGUAAGGCGGGUGAGAAUCCCGUCCGCCGAAAAUCUAAGGUUUCCUGAGGAAGGUUCGUCCUCUCAGGGUAAGUCGGGACCUAAGCCGAGAGCAAACGCUGUAGGCGAUGGAUAACAGGUUGAUAUUCCUGUACCACCAAGGAUUGUUUGAAUGAAGUGGGGACACAGAAGGAUAGAUUGAGCACGCCGUUGGUUGAGCGUGUCCAAGCAGUGAGGCUUGAAAGUAGGCAAAUCCGCUUUCUAUAAGGUUGAGCUGUGAUGGGGUGGUCGUAUGACCGGUAGCAAUCGAUUUCACGCUGUCAAGAAAAGCCGCUAAUGAGAUCCAAGGUGCCCGUACCGCAAACCGACACAGGUAGAUGAGGAGAGAAUCCUAAGGUGAGCGAGAGAACUAUUGUUAAGGAACUCGGCAAAAUAACCCCGUAACUUCGGGAGAAGGGGUGCCUGCUUCGGCAGGCCGCAGUGAAGAGGUCCAGGCAACUGUUUACCAAAAACACAGGUCUCUGCUAAAGCGAAAGCUGAUGUAUAGGGGCUGACGCCUGCCCGGUGCUGGAAGGUUAAGGGGAAGUGUUAGGGCAACCGAAGCACAGAACUUAAGCCCCAGUAAACGGCGGCCGUAACUAUAACGGUCCUAAGGUAGCGAAAUUCCUUGUCGGGUAAG